GAGAUGUGCUCAGUGCAGGGAGCCCAAAUAAUGGCUCUUCUGUUUAUAAGGUACCUAGCAGCAUCUUGUGGGUUUUUUUUUGUGAGGAAGAAAAUAAAAAUGUGUAGCAUCCUGUAAAUAAAUGACCUAAAUGC